GCUUGCAUUCUUGAAUCAGAAUUUGAUCCACACAUCCCCUCUUUAUGCGCUGAUGAAGGAGAAAAACACUGCCUCCUUCUUCCUAUUUCCUUUGAACUUAACUCAGCCCCUAAAUUUCCUUCUCCAAGUCGUAAAUCCUAGAGGAUGAAUCAAAGCUUACAUAAUUUCUCUCCUAUUUUUCUUAUGAACCGUGAGCUCAGAGGAAGAGAAUAAAAACACAUUCUUUUGCAUUCUUUCUUAGUUCUGCCGUGUCACAGCCAAGAAGGAGAUUACCAUCUAAGUUCAACACCUUCCUCUCUCUGUUCGGCUUUGUAUGCAGCAACAAAAGAGGUUACACAUGAGCCCUCUCUCCCUCACCUUUGUUCGGCUGAAGGAUUCAUCUUGAGGAGGUGAAGUAAGAUUUGUUGUCUUCUUGUUCCUCCUCACUAAAUAGGUUCUGAUCAAGCUUCUUUCCUUGCAUUCCUGUGGUUAAAUCUUAGUGGAGUCUCCCUUUUUUACUGCAUGUGGCUGAAAACAUCUUGCAAGGCAGAUCUUCAUCUUUCAAUUCUGACCUGUACCCUCACGACUUGCAAGAAUAAGUGAUCUUUCUCCUACCCUCUCUGUUUUGGUUUCAGCGCAUGAGCUGUUUGAGGGAACUGAUCCUUGUCUUAUUUCUGUUUUGACUCUUUGGCAUGUUGAGGGGCGAUGAUGAUGCUCCAAAAUUCGGUGACUAUUUUCUGCAUUUAAUUUAGGAGAAACAUGGUUGCGUGGAAGAAGGUGCGCAAGGUCCUAGAUACUUGGAAUGUUUGAUGACAUUUGGAAUGUUUGAUUAGAAAGCUAAAGGGUCAGGAAGAUAAAGAAAUAUUUGAUAAAGCAUGUCAUUGGAAGUACUUGGUUGAUGCUCUGCUGUUUGAGGAUUACUGUUGUUAGUUCUGUUUCUAUUGGAUUAGAUGCUGAAAGAUUACAUGCAAUAAGAUGUUAUGAAGAUUAGUAAACUUGUUUUGGGAAUUGAAUUCUGAAAAUUUGAUGAAGCAUUGCUGAACUAUGUAAUUAUGUUUAUGAAAAUAUCCUAAGAAUCAUGCAUGAUGUUAUCGCCGU